NGAAACUCCACCAGCCCCCAGAGCAGGAGACGUUGUAGCGACUGAGACACGUUAAGUUAUGCUAGCACAAGAGUGACACUGUGAAACGAUGACGACAGCGCGAAGGUGAAACUGUGAACUGCGAGAGCAGAAUGCCAGAACCUUGAGAGCAUGGGCCAGAGCCAAUCAGUAAGAGCCCGAGCCAUGACGAUAAGCCAGUGAGUGCCAAUGAGCCAAUAAGAGCUAGGUGUUAUGCCAAUGAGAGCCGGAGCUGAAUUGAGCCAGAGCCAAUAAGAGCAGAGAGAUCCAGAGCCAACGAGCCAGAUCUAAAGAGUCAGAUCUCCACAGAGGAGCCAUACUAAAGGCAGUCGGAAGUUGAUCUUCUUGAUCC
rnacentral:misc_RNA from 1 species